GACGAACGCUGGCGGCGUGCUUAACACAUGCAAGUCGAACGGAAAGGCCCUGCUUUUGUGGGUUGCUCGAUUGGCGAACGCGGGAGUAACACGCGAGUAACCUCCCCUUGACUUUCGGAUAACUUCAGGAAACUCGGGCUAAUACCGGAUAGGAGCUCCUGCUCCACGGUGGUGGUUGGAAAGUUUCGGCGGUUGGGGAUGGACUCGCGGCUUAUCAGCUUGUUUGUGGGGUAGUUGCUUACCAAGGCUUUGACGGGUAGCCGGCCUGAGAGGGGUGCCGGGGUCCUGGGGACUGAGGUACGGACCAGAAGCGUACGGGAGGCAGCGGGGGGAAGUAUUGCAGAGUGGGGGGAAGCGUGAGGCAGCAACGCCGGGUGCGGGAUGACGGCCUUCGGGUUGUAAACAGAUUUGGAAUGUGACGAAGAGGGAGUGACGGUAAUGGGUAAAGAAGCACCGGCUAACUACGUG
rnacentral:rRNA from 1 species